GAUGAACGCUGGCGGCGUGCCUAAUACAUGCAAGUCGAGCGGACAGACGAGGUGCUUGCACCUCUGAAGUCAGCGGCGGACGGGUGAGUAACACGUGGGUAACCUACCUGUAAGACUGGGAUAACUUCGGGAAACCGGAGCUAAUACCGGAUAAUAUUUUCCACCUCAUGGUGGAAUAGUGAAAGACGGUUUUGCUGUCACUUACAGAUGGACCCGCGGCGCAUUAGCUAGUUGGUGAGGUAACGGCUCACCAAGGCGACGAUGCGUAGCCGACCUGAGAGGGUGAUCGGCCACACUGGGACUGAGACACGGCCCAGACUCCUACGGGAGGCAGCAGUAGGGAAUCUUCCGCAAUGGACGAAAGUCUGACGGAGCAACGCCGCGUGAGUGAAGAAGGUCUUCGGAUCGUAAAACUCUGUUGUAAGGGAAGAACAAGUACGUUAGUAACUGAACGUACCUUGACGG
rnacentral:rRNA from 1 species